rnacentral:misc_RNA from 1 species
UUUCCGUAGGUGAACCUGCGGAAGGAUUAUUAUUGUAUAACCGAGGUGCGAGGGCUGUCGCUGACCCGAAAGGUCGUGCACGCCCGAGUGCCCUCACACACAUCCAUCUCACCCCUAUGUGCACCACCGCGUGGGUCCCCCUUUGGCUUGUUCGGAGGGGGGCUUACGCUUUCACACAAACUUUGUAUGCAGUGUAGAAUGUAUUUUUUGUUUUUGCGAUCACGCAAUCAAUACAACUUUCAACAACGGAUCUCUUGGCUCUG